rnacentral:rRNA from 1 species
CAGGAGUGGAAGUACAGGGAUGUAUGGAGCGGACUGAUACUAAUCGAUCGAGGACUUAACCAAU